CGCGUAGGCGGGGGACCAAGUCCGGGGUGAAAUCUUUCGGCUCAACCGGAAAGCUGCCUUGGAUACUGGUCUUCUUGAGGGAGGUAGGGGCAGGUGGAACUUCCGGUGGAGCGGUGAAAUGCGUUGAUAUCGGAAGGAACGCCGGUGGCGAAAGCGACCUGCUGGAUCUCUUCUGACGCUGAGGCGCGAAAGCUAGGGGAGCGAAGG
rnacentral:rRNA from 1 species